GUUAGGUUGAACACGGCCCAGUUACCCGGUUAGGUUGAACACGGCCCAGUUACCCGGUUAGGUUGAACACGGCCCAGUUACCCGGUUAGGUUGAACACGGCCCAGUUACCCGGUUAGGUUGAACACGGCCCAGUUACCCGGUUAGGUUGAACACGGCCCAGUUACCCGGUUAGGUUGAACACGGCCCAGUUACCCGGUUAGGUUGAACACGGCCCAGUUACCCGGUUAGGUUGAACACGGCCCAGUUACCCGGUUAGGUUGAACACGGCCCAGUUACCCGGUUAGGUUGAACACGGCCCAGUUACCCGGUUAGGUUGAACACGGCCCAGUUACCCGGUUAGGUUGAACACGGCCCAGUUACCCGGUUAGGUUGAACACGGCCCAGUUACCCGGUUAGGUUGAACACGGCCCAGUUACCCGGUUAGGUUGAACACGGCCCAGAUCGGGCCGCGU